CCGACCUUAGCUCAGCUGGAAGAGCGCGAGACUGUAAUUGGGUACAACUUAUAGGUCCCGGCUUAUGUAAUCUUGAGGUCGCCUGUUCGAGCCAGGCAGGUCGGA